UACAGAGGUCUCAAGCGUUGUUCGGAUUCAUUGGGCGUAAAGGGUGCGUAGGCGGCGCGGUAAGUCGGGUGUGAAAUCUCGGGGCUUAACUCCGAAACUGCAUUCGAUACUGCCGUGCUUGAGGACUGGAGAGGAGACUGGAAUUUACGGUGUAGCGGUGAAAUGCGCAGAUAUCAGGAGGAACACCGGUGGCGAAGGCG
rnacentral:rRNA from 1 species